rnacentral:rRNA from 1 species
UACAGAGGGGGCAAGCGUUGUUCGGAAUUACUGGGCGUAAAGGGCUCGUAGGUGGCCAACUAAGUCAGACGUGAAAUCCCUCAGCUUAACUGGGGAACUGCGUCUGAUACUGGAUGGCUUGAGUUUGGGAGAGGGACGCGGAAUUCCAGGUGUAGCGGUGAAAUGCGUAGAUAUCUGGAGGAAUACCGGUGGCGAAGGCGGCAUCCUGGACCGGCAUUGACGCUGAGGAGCGAAAGCCAGGGGAGCAAACGGG